rnacentral:rRNA from 1 species
UUGCGGACAGUGUCUGGUGGGUAGUUUGACUGGGGCGGUCUCCUCCUAAAGAGUAACGGAGGAGCACGAAGGUUGGCUAAUCCUGGUCGGACAUCAGGAGGUUAGUGCAAUGGCAUAAGCCAGCUUGACUGCGAGCGUGACGGCGCGAGCAGGUGCGAAAGCAGGUCAUAGUGAUCCGGUGGUUCUGAAUGGAAGGGCCAUCGCUCAACGGAUAAAAGGUACUCCGGGGAUAACAGGCUGAUACCGCCCAAGAGUUCAUAUCGACGGCGGUGUUUGGCACCUCGAUGUCGGCUCAUCACAUCCUGGGGCUGAAGUAGGUCCCAAGGGUAUGGCUGUUCGCCAUUUAAAGUGGUACGCGAGCUGGGUUUAGAACGUCGUGAGACAGUUCGGUCCCUAUCUGCCGUGGGCGCUGGAGAACUGAGGGGGGCUGCUCCUAGUACGAGAGGACCGGAGUGGACGCAUCACUGGUGUUCGGGUUGUCAUGCCAAUGGCACUGCCCGGUAGCUAAAUGCGGAAGAGAUAAGUGCUGAAAGCAUCUAAGCACGAAACUUGCCCCGAGAUGAGUUCUCCCUGAGACUUUAGGUCUCCUGAAGGAACGUUGAAGACGACGACGUUGAUAGGCCGGGUGUGUAA